CAGACAAUUGACAAUUUUUAUUCCUUAUGUGAAUAGUAAAACCGUUGUUUUCAUAUUUGAAUAAUAAAAAUGGCACAAUCCAUGGAUAUUUCGGUGGAAUCAGCCAUUGAUUAUGUUAUUCAUGGCAUCACCUACGGUGAGAUCUUUCAACCGCCGCUAGCACUGUCGGAGAAUUUGACUUGGAAUGCAUGUCGAAUUGAUUUUGGUAAAUCAAUGGGCAAUCAAAGGGGAAAAAGAUGAUGAAGAAAUUAAGGAAGCGGAUCGAUUCAAUGCCAAUCUAUGGCCAUCGAAUUCAGUCUGUCGACAAACUACGUUGUUAGAGAGAUGAGCCGGGGUGUUCACACAGCAGCAUCAAAGCAACGCCACAGCGACAUUACAUUGGGCAGCGAAUGUACGAACAUACGAGAACAGUAACACACACACAAAGAGAGGGAGAGAGAGAGAGGGAGAGAGAGAGAGGGAGAGAGAGAGAGAUUUUGCCAGCCAGUUGAAAACAAGAUGUUUACAGUUUGUCGCAAAAGGAUUGAAAUUUUAUCAAAUGAAAUGGCAUCACACACACACACACCAAGGCACAACGAAUGCUGUCACUAAUGCUAACAAUACGUUCGAUUGUUUUCUAGAUUGAGUAAAACAACAUACCGUUACCGGCUUUCGGCAUGUGCAAACAUGAAAAUAGAACUAUACAGUGCUAGUAGCCAUUGCAAAGUGAAAUACGCAUCAGCCGCAGACAUUGAACAGCAAUCGAAGUGAUCGGAAGCAAACAAUAUUUUGUCUUCUUAAUCCGUUGAUAUAGUUUAGUUUUAAAACAUUUAUUAUUCAGUCAAAAUCAUCGACACAAAUUUUUUUUUAAAAGUGUGCUCACAACACAAAUUUUUUUAGCAUCGAACACUCGCAUUUCCUGAAGUUUUUUUCCAUUCGUUUGUCACAGAAAAAUACAGUGAUUGAAAUUGGUCAAAGCCAAUUUGAAACGGGAGAUCAAUUUUCGAAUUGCGCAUGAAUUUAACGGGAAAAAAGUCAAAAUUAAAUUCAAAUUCUGUAGCAACACGAACUAAAAGUACUACGCAAUAGUGCUAACAAUACGUUCGAACAAAACAACAUACCGUUACCGGCUUUGUACAUGUGCAAACAUGAAAUUAGACAUACAGUACUAGUAGCCAUAGCAAAGUGAAAUACGCAUCAGACUCAGACAUUGAUUGAACAACAUUUGAAGUGAUCGGACGCAUAUAAUAUUUUCUCUUCUUGAUCUUUCGAUACAAUUUGAUUUUUAAACAUUUAUUAUUCGCAUCGAACGCUCGCAUUUUCUUGGGGUGUUUUUUCCGUUCGUUUGUCACAGCAAAGUACAGUGCAGAGUCGUUCGCCGAGUCAUUCGCCAGCUGCAAAAAGAUCACGAAUAGAUGCCAUCAGUAAUGCACCAAGUGGUGUGGUUCCAACAAAAGCUCAAAGUCAAGCACCAGAAUCAGGUAAAAUGAUUUAUUCGUUGGAUCAUCAUCGUUGCCACUGUUCUUUGAUACCAACGUCACAUAGUGGCCGUGAUCUAAGUCGUUCCCCUGGCAACA